rnacentral:ncRNA from 1 species
AGAUCCCAGAAAAGAUGUGGGUUGAUACAGGCAGCAGGAUGGUGGCCAUGGAAGUCAGAAUCUGUUAAGGAGUGUGUAACAACUCACCUG